UGAAGCUUCAUUUAUUCCAACACUAGCCAUAAAACAAAAUUGCUAGUCAAUUCUAUCCUAAUUUAAAACAAAUAUCUUCUAAAAGUUCAAUAUAUUAACAGUUUUUUUAUUAUAAAAAAAAAAUCAAAAUAUGCAAUUAUCCAGGGUGACAUUUUAAACUGCCAAAUUAGCAGGAAAUAAUAUCCUAUUGUUAAACUGUACUAAUAUAUUUUGAGCAGUUCCAAGAAUCAAUAAUGCAACUUCCAAGAAUCAAAAUUUCAUCUUUUCUUUGAGAUUCUUUUCAAGGAAUAAUAGGGUUAAAAUUGUAUUACAGUGUAAUGAAACAUUAAAGAGAAGGCAAAUCACUGAUAAAGUUAACAUAUU
rnacentral:misc_RNA from 1 species